rnacentral:tRNA from 1 species
UAGCUCAUUGGUAGAGCGUCGACUUUGUAAGUCGGAAGUCCUGGGUUCGAUUCCCAU